GCUUUAUUUACUUCCUUUAAUGUGAACCUAUGAAAAUACCAAAGCAUUCCCCCAAAGGGUAGAGGAAUUCCCAAUGGUGUAAUCACUUGAAUGAAUUCAGGAAUCUUUGCCUCAGUGUUGAGGAAGUCACUCAUGCUCCUAUUGCAUGGCUAGAAGUAACUGUGAAAACAAACAGAGGAAGAAGGCAAUGCUGAAAUCAGAGUACUAAACUCUCAAUGAUUCAGUGUGACAGCCAACCAAAGUGAUAUCAAGAAGUAAGCUUAUGCAAGAUUCAGAGACUUCUUUAUAAGGCAUGUGGAACCAUUGGAUGGGAGAGAGCGGUGCUAUUGUCCAAUUCAUUUAGAUGAAGCUCUCCUAAAGGAACAUCAAGUACAGCUUAAGAUCAAUUGGACUUUAAGCACAAUGUUUCCAUGGAUAAUGGUCUAGCCUGCCUAUCUUGAGUGACAGGUCUCUGGAAAUUUUCACUUCACGGCAUGUUGUCAAAAGAGAAAUAUUCUCCCUUGGAUGUGCAUCCAUACUGAUGGCACCUCAGGAAAAUUCAAUUAUUAAAUAAGCUUUCCUGUCACAGCCAAAGCCAUGACAUGAAAGUGGUGCACAGCUCUCUUCCACUCUCGCGAUACACCUCAUCUUUCAGAAACCCUCCAGCCUGUGAGAUCUUCCCUGGUACCCACAAAGAAAUCUUUUCUUCUGUACUACAGUGGCCAAUUGUACUGAUUCUUAGAGGGCUCGGCACAGUUCAUUGGGACGGAAUGAAACUUUCCUGUGUGGCCUGAUGGCAGCUAGGAUAGUAUGCAAUACAUAGCUCUUGCUCCAUAAAUCCUUUCUGAAUGAAUGAAUAGGUGAAUAAAAGAAUGAUUGUCA
rnacentral:lncRNA from 1 species